rnacentral:rRNA from 1 species
AUGUGGGCUCUGAGAAGCCUCCGCCGGAACCUCCCGAAGGCAGCCUCUUCGUCGCUCCACCGGAGGUGCGCCCCGUCGAUUAGCUCCGAGGACUUCGCGGCGAGGGGGCGAGGGGGCGAGGCGGCUGCGGCCUCAAUAUCAGCCGCGUUAGUGCCGGCGAGCACGGACGGCGGUGGGGUAUGCCGGCGGUUGAUGUCGACGAGCAAGGGGAGGAGCAUGCGGAGCAAGGUGGAGAAGCGGAUGGGGAGGGAGACCGGCCGCACGCAGAAGGAGCUGCGCCGCGCGGUCAAGCUCCGAAAGAAGCUCAUGACCGAGGACGAGAGGCUCAUCCACAGCAUGCGGAGGGCCAAGAAAAAAGUUGCUUUACUUCUACAAAAGCUCAAGAAGUAUGAGCUACCAGACCUACCAGCUCCUCGUCAUGAUCCAGAGCUGUUAACAGCUGAGCAGCUACAGGCUUACAAGAAGAUUGGAUUCAGAAAUAAAAACUAUGUCCCUGUUGGAGUUCGUGGAGUCUUUGGAGGUGUUGUUCAAAACAUGCACAUGCACUGGAAAUUCCAUGAGACAGUGCAAGUUUGCUGUGACAAUUUCCCGAAGGAAAAAAUUAAGGAAAUGGCAUCAAUGCUGACAAGAUUGAGUGGUGGUAUAGUGGUUAACAUUCACAAUACCAAAACAAUUAUCAUGUUUCGUGGAAGGAACUACCGUCAACCAAAGAACCUCAUACCUUUUAACACACUUACCAAACGGAAGGCUUUAUUCAAGGCUAGAUAUGAGCAGGCUCUUGAGUCACAGAAACUGAAUAUCAAGAAAAUAGAGACACAACUUCGUCGCAAAGGUAUUAACCCAGAGGACCCAGUUGCCAUGGCCAGCAUCCAGCGAGUUGCCUCGGCAUUCUUUCGAGCCAUAGACGAGCAGCAAGGUACUCCUUAUGUCUUCCAUGGGGAUAAACAACCUACUGCUGGGACUACAGAAUUAAAAGAAGCAGAUGUUGAGCCAGCUGAGGAUAGCGACCAGGAGGAGCUUGACAACUUCAUUGCAGAAAUAGAGAAUGCAGCAGAGAAGCAAUGGGAGGAAGAGGAGGCAGCAGAGAAAGAAGAAACUUCAAGGCUGCAGUAUCGCUACAGAGAAGAGAUGAUGGGUGAGCGGAGGGGUUUCAAUAGAAGCUAUGACAACUCAGAUGCCGAUGAUAGAACCCAGGGAAGAUACAGGAGAGAUAACGACAACAAUAAAUGGGCAACAGAUACAAGGAGAUGGGAUGAUGACAGUGAGAUAGAGGCGUCAGGUGAGGAUGUGGGUGAGCGCAGGGGUUUCGGGAGAAGCUAUGAUAACUCAGAUGCUGAGGAUAGAAGCCAGGGAAGACACAGGAGAGAGAACAAAAACAACAGAAGAACAUCAGGUUCGAGCAGGUUGGAUGAUGAUACCGAGGCGUCAGGCGAGGACUGGGACAUUGAUGAUGGCAGGGAUAGUAUGGUUGGAUUCGACAAGGAGAGGCAUGUACCUGAUGAACAUCCUCGGCGAUUUGACAGCAUGCGACAUGAGAGGAGUAGUUCCAGUCACAGGCAGAAUUAUAUGCCUGGGGCCUCCAGAAGUCCCAGCCGGACCCCAAAGAAUGCAGUUAGUGUUUCUGAGGACAGUGAGGAUGAUGUGUCAGACAGUGAAGAUGAUGAGGUGUGGGGAGCAGAUUACAAGGAAGAGACGAGCUCGAGUGCCCCGAACGUGAAUUUUCCUAAUUACAAGAGCAGCAGCGAGGAGGAGGAUACUGGCGACAACUGGAUGCGUGGUGGCAGAACCAGCCAAACGAAGAAGCAUACCGACGAGGACUGGGACAGUGACUGA